rnacentral:miRNA from 1 species
UUGAAGGUACUGUGAAUUUUG